GAUGAACGCUGGCGGCGUGCCUAAUACAUGCAAGUCGAGCGAACUGACGAGAAGCUUGCUUCUCUGAUGUUAGCGGCGGACGGGUGAGUAACACGUGGAUAACCUACCUAUAAGACUGGGAUAACUUCGGGAAACCGGAGCUAAUACCGGAUAAUAUUUUGAACCGCAUGGUUCAAAAGUGAAAGACGGUCUUGCUGUCACUUAUAGAUGGAUCCGCGCUGCAUUAGCUAGUUGGUAAGGUAACGGCUUACCAAGGCAACGAUGCAUAGCCGACCUGAGAGGGUGAUCGGCCACACUGGAACUGAGACACGGUCCAGACUCCUACGGGAGGCAGCAGUAGGGAAUCUUCCGCAAAGGGCGAAAGCCUGACGGAGCAACGCCGCGUGAGUGAUGAAGGUCUUCGGAUCGUAAAACUCUGUUAUUAGGGAAGAACAUAUGUGUAAGUAACUGUGCACAUCUUGACGGUACCUAAUCAGAAAGCCACGGCUAACUACGUG
rnacentral:rRNA from 1 species